rnacentral:lncRNA from 1 species
GCCUGGUAGACGCGCUUCCAAAAGGACCGCGGCGAUGGCACGGCUCGGCUCGGCUACGCUGCUGUGUACAUGCGCUGGGAGAUCAUAUCAGGCCAUGCCCGGAGAGCAGACGUCCCUUAUCUGUCUCGCUUGCACAAAUGCAGUGUGAAGUGGACAGCGUACUUUUGGGCAGGACUGUUGACAGUGGCACAGGAAAUGCGGAGUAUUUUUAUCCAGUUGGCAUCUCCCCUGAUACAGAGACAUGUGGACGAUGUGGAUUCACCAAUUUCAGAAUCCACUUUCCAGGCAACCUCCUGGUCCAGCCCGUCCAGCCUGCAUCCUGAGCUCACCCAUCGUUUCAUGCAACCCCUCCUUCCUAGUGAGUUUGCGCCCCGCGCCCUCAUUAUUUCCUCCCGUACAAGCUCUGCAUGCAAGAGAACCGCUGAGGGUCGGCAAUCACGCUGCAAACAAAUGAGCAAAUAAACGUAUUAAGACUCUCCUGAUCUAAUUUGACACACAUCAUCUGUUAGUCUACGCCAAAUCCGGCAUUGCCGGGAAAUGAAUCAGGCAGCGUGUGUG